UCGAGAAGAGCCUGUCAACGUAGCCAUAGACGACUGCCUAACAAACCAAAUACCGGGUUUUGAUAGCGGUUAGGCAAGUCAUCCUUGGCUACAAAACGAGGCGUUUCUCU
rfam:Ipomoea nil DNA, scaffold: scaffold0980, cultivar: Tokyo-kokei standard.